AUCUAGUGGCUGUCAAGCGCAUCCUGCGCUAUGUAGCCGGAACCAGAGGCUGGGGCGUAAGAUACUGCGCAGGGAGCGGAAAGGAGACAGUCAAGCUAGUUGGC